AUACGGAGGGUGCAAGCGUUAUUCGGAAUCACUGGGCGUAAAGGACGCGUAGGCGGGAAGCCAAGUCUGAUGUGAAAUCCUAUGGCUUGACCAUAGAACUGCAUUGGAAACUGGUUACCUAGAGUAUGGGAGGGGGAGAUGGAAUUAGUGGUGUAGGGGUAAAAUCCGUAGAUAUCACUAGGAAUACCGAAAGCGAAGGCGAUCUCCUGGAACAAUACUGACGCUAAGGCGUGAAAGCGUGGGGAGCAAACGGGAUUAGAAACCCUAGUAGUCC
rnacentral:rRNA from 1 species